UACGGGGGGAGCAAGCGUUGUUCGGAUUUACUGGGCGUAAAGGGCGCGUAGGCGGUCAGCACAAGUCAGUUGUGAAAUCUCCGAGCUUAACUCGGAAAGGUCAACUGAUACUGUGCGACUAGAGUGCGGAAGGGGCAACUGGAAUUCUUGGUGUAGCGGUGAAAUGCGUAGAUAUCAAGAGGAACACCUGCGGCGAAGGCGGCAUCCUGGACCGGCAUUGACGCUGAGGCGCGAAAGCCAGGGGAGCAAACGGG
rnacentral:rRNA from 1 species